UAGGGAAUCUUCCGCAAUGGACGAAAGUCUGACGGAGCAACGCCGCGUGAGUGAUGAAGGUUUUCGGAUCGUAAAACUCUGUUGUUAGGGAAGAACAAGUACAAGAGUAACUGCUUGUACCUUGACGGUACCUAACCAGAAAGCCACGGCUAACUACGUGCCAGCAGCCGCGGUAAUACGUAGGUGGCAAGCGUUGUCUGGAAUUAUUGGGCGUAAAGCGCGCGCAGGCUGUCCUUUAAGUCUGAUGUGAAAGCCCACGGCUCAACCGUGGAGGGUCAUUGGAAACUGGGGGACUUGAGUGCAGAAGAGAAGAGUGGAAUUCCACGUGUAGCGGUGAAAUGCGUAGAGAUGUGGAGGAACACCAGUGGCGAAGGCGACUCUUUGGUCUGUAACUGACGCUGAGGCGCGAAAGCGUGGGGAGCAAACAGGAUUAGAUACCCUGGUAGUCCACGCCGUAAAUGAUGAGUGCUAAGUGUUAGAGGGUUUCCGCCCUUUAGUGCUGCAGCAAACGCAUUAAGCACUCCGCCUGGGGAGUACGGNCGCNAGGCUG
rnacentral:rRNA from 1 species